rnacentral:lncRNA from 1 species
CAAACCUGACAGAUUUCUCCAGAAAAGUGGCCAUCCGUGGAAAUGAGGGAAAUAUUCUUUCUAUUCCA